GGGGCUGUCAUGGCAUCGACGUUUUAGAAACUAUGAUAUUAUGAUACAAGUCAAGAUUGAGUACAUCUUGUAAAUAAAACUCAGAAUAAUAAAUGCAAAUAAUAUUGUAACUUUUGCUCGUAAAUUAGCAGUUGUAUAAUAAAUAUUACUUUUUAUGUGUAAUUACAUAAAAAACUAAUAAGAUCUGAGCGAAUCUUCCGGGAAUGAGAUUGGCGCAAUAACAAAUCCCAAACCUAAGAUUGAAUUUCAAAAGUAUUUGCUUUAAAUAUAGAAUAAAGCUAAACUUGUGAAUGAUUAUGUUAUACGUUCUCAAAUGCACGUGGGUUCAAUUCCCACCAGCUCCA
rnacentral:tmRNA from 1 species